GCAUUAUCUUGUUGUUGCGGUCUGUUGGUGCAUUAUCUUGUUGUUGCGGUCUGUUGGUGCAUUAUCUUGUUGUUGCGGGCUGAUACAUUAUCUUGUGGCGGUCUGGUGAUGCAUUAUCUUGAUGUUACGGUCUGUUGAUGCACUAUCUUGUUGCGGUCUGUAGGUGUGAUGUUCGGAUGUACCGAUCCUGUGCAGGUGUUGGUACAUGUGGUUAACUGACCAUUACUUUCCCAGAAUCUAUGUUCAUUGAUUCUCUCGUUUUAGUAGUGUCAGCUUGGCGAUUUGAGGAGUUGAGACAAAUUAUCGGUAGAAAAGUUUACUUCUGUAAUAGAUCUCAGCACAUAUACUGGUGAAGAGGUAAGGCCAGAGUAAUGGAUCUCAGCACAGAUACUGGUGAAGAGGUAAGGCCAGAGUAAUAGAUGUAGAAACAUAUUGGUGAAGAGGUAAGGCCAGAGUAAUGGAUCUCAGCACAGAUCCUGGUGAAGAGGUAAGGCCAGAGUAAUAGAUGUAGAAACAUACUGGUGAAGAGGUAAGGGCAGAGUAAUGGAUCUCAGCACAGAUCCUGGUGAAGAGGUAAGGCCAGAGUAAUGGAUCUCAGCACAGAUCCUGGAGAAGAGGUAAGGCCAGAGUAAUGGAUGUUGAAGAGGUACAAUCUUAGAUAAAAAGGUGCUAUCAAAAAGCGUUCUUCAGCUGUCCCCAUAGAUCAGUGGUCACCAACCGAUCUUUUGACUGGCCCAUCUUCAAGGCAUUCCUAGUCGAUCUACAAACAUUUAUGUAGAAGAAAAAAAACCUUAAGGCGAUUCUUUAAAAUAAUAUAUAUUAUUAGUGUAAAAAUAAAUAAAUAUAUAUAUAUAUUAUUCGUGUAAAAAUACAAAUUUAAAUAUAUAUUAUUAGUGAAAAAAGUCAAAAUAAAUAUGAAUAUAUAUUAUUAGUGCUCCGCUGUUAUAUCGGUUGGUGCACUUGAUUCAGAAGCCCUGCACACCAUUUAUAACCAUUUAAUUUGUCUGAAAAGACCAACUCUACCUACCUGGCGAACUGGGAGAUAUGUAGCUAAAUCGAGUGCGUAUACUGUGCUGGCCAAUUCGAUAGCUCACCUACCUUCCACGACCCCAGCCACAGCAACGUGUGAGAGCAGAUAUUAAAAUCUUACCCUACGAGGUCCUGAGUACUAGCUGAUAGUUAACUUCACCCACCUGGUUAUAGUUCCGUUUCAGUCUCUGAUUAAAAAGGGAGGAAUACAAAUCAGUGGAACUGGCUUCAGGGUCCUAGAGUCACACCCCAUUUAUACCCAAGGAGAGUAUGGAGGAAAGGAUCUGCCACAGAACAGCGCCUUUGGAACAUCUGAGGGUUUAACGGUCUUGCUCCUAGGGCAGAACAGCAGGAAAUGAGGACUAGGACAACUGAUGACAGCAAGUAAUAGCAGCAGUAGCCCACUGGCCAGGGGAGGAGGGCAGCAGUAGCCCACUGGCCAGGGGAGGAGGG
ensembl:lncRNA